UACGUAGGCAGCGAGCGUUGUUCGGAAUUACUGGGCGUAAAGAGUGUGUAGGCGGUGUUCCCAGUCUGUUGUGAAAUCUCCCGGCUUAACUGGGAGGGUGCAGCGGAAACUAGAAUGCUAGAGGGUGGGAGAGGUAAGCGGAAUUCCUGGUGUGGCGGUGAAAUGCGUAGAUAUCAGGAGGAACACCUGUGGUGUAGACAGCUUACUGGACCACCUCUGACGCUGAGACACGAAAGCGUGGGUAGCAAACAGG
rnacentral:rRNA from 1 species